rnacentral:rRNA from 1 species
AAUGUAAUUAAAAAUACUUGAGUAUUAAUAGUUAUGGUCUUUAAACUUAAAAAAUUUGGCGGUAUUUUAGUCUAUUCAGAGGAACCUGUUUUAUAAUCGAUAAUCCACGAUGUACCUCACUUAAAUUUGUUAAUCAGUUUAUAUACCGUCGUUAUAGAAUAUUUUAUAAGAAAAAUAAUUUUCAAUAAUUAAGAUAAUAAUAUAUGUCAGAUCAAGGUGUAGCUUAUAUUUAAGUAAUAAUGGGUUACAAUAAAAGUAUUUUUGGAUAUAAAGAUGAAAAAUUUAUUGAAAAUGGAUUUGAUAGUAAAAUUAAAUAGAUAAUUGAUUUGAUUUUAGCUCU